AUGCUAUCCUUUGAAGUCAGUCAUACAUAUCAAACAACAGUUCGGAAAACAAUCAACAAUACCAACAGUUCGACAAAUUGAAAAUGUACGGUCUUUAUCACUACCAUCAGCAUCAUCUUCAUCUAUUCAAAAAAGUCAACUUCCUACAAUACCAAUGAAACCAAAACAUGCUGAUAUACAGGAAAGUUCCCAUAGCUCCACUCCUUUCGAUAUUGACGAUGACAGGAUGGAAGUGGAACAAACACAGGAUCCAUCUUUACCAGACGAACAGAAAGGUAAAAGAUCUUUUACAUCUACAACAACUGACAUAGAGAGUGACCAACCUCAGGAUACUACAGCAGAUAAAUUCAACAAAAAAAGCUCGAGCCACACCAAAAAGCCAAGACUACAAUAAGAUCAUGUUGGACCUGCAUGAGAACAUAGUGGAACACAAAAACCAGUUGGCAUUUUGAAGUGUACAGUUACCACAUCCAAACUUUUUGGUGCUCAACAUGAUGAAUACUUAUGCAGUUCUGGCAAACAAUAUCUCUUCAUAUUUUGUUGUAUAUAGUUAACUCAUCCCCACCUUUUGGUACACACCAUCCUGAACGUGGAUGACCAAGUACUGCACAAUGAAGUAGCAAACAAGAACUUUUAACAUUUUCAUGUAUACAGUUUCCUCACCCAAACUUUUGGGUGCGCAACAUGCUUCACCUGCUUGAUGUACUGUCAAACAAAAACUGCUCUUAUUUUGCUGUAUAUAGUGCACUCAUCCACAUCUUUUCAUCUAU